AAAAAAACACCACCAUGACAAGUCAAGAGCGAGAUCAUGGAAGAAGGAAAAAACCUUAGCUUUUAUACCUUUAAUGGCACUUUUUUCCUAUAUUUUGAACAGAAGGGCCAGCUUCAUUUUGCACUGGGUCCACAAAUUAUGUAGCCAGCCCUAUGCAUUUGCACAAGGAAACAUGAACAAGAAUGUCCAUUUUAGCAUAAUUGUAGAGGUUAAAAAGAAGGAAAAUAAUCCAAUGUCCAAGAAUAGGAACAUGGAGAGAUUACGAUAUAGUCUAUAGGAUGGACUACUGCAUGGCAGUAUUAAGUAUAUUAAAUAAAUUAACCAAAUCCAUAGGUACAUAGAAGGAGAUAAAAAAAUUGAGAAGAAAUUCAAGCCGAAGAUCAUUACAAGAUAUAAGAGCAUGCAUCUAUGUAAUUUUAUAAAACACCCCAAAAUUCAUUAUUUAUGAACACAUUUAUAUAUAUGGUAAAGUAUAAACUCAUCCACCAGGCACACACCAAAUUCAUGACAGUGAUUUUAUUUAGGGAGAGAAAAAGAGAAUGUCACCAAGAUGAAGAAAAUGGAGGAUUUCAUAUUUAAUUUUAAUCUUUUAUUUCUUAAAAAAUUUUUAUAAGAAAAUGUUUAGUGCUGAAUUUUAUAACAAAAUGUUUCGUGCUGAAUGCAUGAGUUUGACAUGCUGUUCUUAAUGCUCUCUAUAUUUUUUAAUUAAAAAAACUCCUAAUUUAAAUAAAGUAGACCAGCCAUUCCUUCCACUAUCCCUCCAUUCCAAGCACAAUUUCUAUAAAGCAGAAAGAAAAUUUGGUGAGAAUGCAGAGGGGAGCCCUCCAUGCAUAUGUUUCUUUGAACAGGAUACUAAAACAUGAUUUUACCUACUUAUCAAUAUGAGAGAGAUGGCAGAGAGGCCUGGAGUAAAUCUCCUCAAUGUUUGCGAAUGAAAGUUAUGCACAGACCGUUGGCUAAUCAUCGGAUUGGCACAGAAAGACCCCGGUUUCCAGAGUAAUGUUGAUUUUUAACUCUCUUAAAUUGACUUUUUAAAAAAUGCAUGUGACUUUUAUGUCCUGAAUUUGCUAAUAAGUCAGACCUUUGGAAUCUUCCAUUACCUUCUGGAGGAUGGUUACAUUCUUGGCCCUGGACCAAACAAGAGCACAGUGGUGAUUUACUGACGCAUGCAGCCCCGCAGUCCUGGCUCACACACAGAGCUGUAAUAGCUCUUUAAACUCUGAGGGCUUGAGUUCCAAUUCAUUUACCAUAAGCACAAUAUAACAUGGAAAUUAUUUUGGCUGCAGAGGCAAAUGUAGCCCAUUCAUGUAUAAAACCAUUGCAAUAAAAGGAAAAGAAACUUAAUCUAGGAAAGUGAUGCCUGUUUUUGGUUUCUUUUCUAAUUCUCUUUCUUUCUAGAUGCUGGCUCGUUACUGGGAAUUUGGCUGCUAUUUGAGGCCUGGCCCUCUUAAGAGCAACACAGUGCUGGUAAUAGUCCCUGGAAGGUGACUUUCUCAAGCUCAGCCCAAUUAUCCAUUUUUAUUCUGGCCACUAAUCUUUAACUCCAUCCCAUCCACUAAUCCAUUCCCCCAUGAGCAAACAAUGCACAGGUAAGUAACAGGGGACCUCCAUGACACUUUUAAUUGAAAUAGCACUUAAUCCACAACCUGCACCGCUGUCGCUUUUCUACCCAUACCUCAAGACUUGGCAAGGAUGAAACAUGACUUGUAUUUGAAGAAUACAAAAUUCAAGUAUCUCUUCUGUGGAAAGUAGAAAGAGAAAAAAACCUCUCUAUAAAAGCUAGAUGGCAUUUGGAAUUAUUUUAAUAACUCACCCACAACUCCUAUUUUAUCCAAGUUGGUUACAAAGACAG
rnacentral:lncRNA from 10 species